AUUGAACGCUGGCGGCAGGCCUAACACAUGCAAGUCGAACGGUAGCACAGAGAGCUAGCUCUCGGGUGACGAGUGGCGGACGGGUGAGUAAUGUCUGGGAAACUGCCCGAUGGAGGGGGAUAACUACUGGAAACGGUAGCUAAUACCGCAUAACGUCGCAAGACCAAAGUGGGGGACCUUCGGGCCUCACACCAUCGGAUGUGCCCAGAUGGGAUUAGCUAGUAGGUGGGGUAAUGGCUCACCUAGGCGACGAUCCCUAGCUGGUCUGAGAGGAUGACCAGCCACACUGGAACUGAGACACGGUCCAGACUCCUACGGGAGGCAGCAGUGGGGAAUAUUGCUCAAUGGGCGCAAGCCUGAUGCAGCCAUGCCGCGUGUAUGAAGAAGGCCUUCGGGUUGUAAAGUACUUUCAGCGGGGAGGAAGGCGGUGAAGUUAAUAGCUUCACCGAUUGACGUUACCCGCAGAAGAAGCACCGGCUAACUCCGUGCCAGCAGCCGCCGUAA
rnacentral:rRNA from 1 species